AAAAGUGAUAUAAGGUGAACAUAAGAGGAGAUGUUUUAUAUGUUCACAAUCCAUAUGAAAAUGACACAAGAGAAAAUAUAUAAACAAUCUGAGCCUCUUUGAAUAUUAGAAACAAGCUGGUCGUGUUUUUUAAUGAGUACCCAGAGUUGGUUAGAUUGUUAAUAAAAUGUUAAGUACCAACUGAACAACAUUCACUUUGGUGAGAACUAACAAUUACAUCUAGUCAUAAAUGGAGCUGUUUCCCGACAGCAAAGUAACAUUACUGAAGCCAUUAGGAACAGCAGCAGACAAGGGUCACCGUGACCUGAUGAGGGACCUUGAAAUGAGUAGAAAUUUGGAAGAAAGAUUUCUCUAUAUGACCACACAUUCUGAUUAAAAAAGAACCCAGUAGAUAGCCAUCAGUUUUAUUGUAAGAAAAAUUAUCUUUAUUGUUAUUGCAACACUGAAAUUUGUUCUCUGCAUUUAAUCCAUCCCUUAGGGAGCAGCGGGUUGCCACUAUGCAGAGCCAGAGGAGCAUCCUGCACCUAAGGGUCUUGGUCCAGGACCCAGAGCGGCAGUCAAUGGGAGUUGAACCCAGAACCCUGCAGCCUCUCCCGGACACUAACCACUAGGCCACCACUGUUGAUGAUUUACGCCAGGCUCACGGAACUGAUUCAAGCUUCUGGUGAUCUGUUAAAUCUGUCCGCUUUAAAGAAGCCAGCUCUAGUCUGCCUCAUUCUGCUGCCUGUGGUGACAUCAUCAUUCCCUGCAGCCUCAGCGCUCUGGCUUCCCCAAAUCACAAAGGAGUCACUGAUCGGAACCUCGACCCCUGCCUGGAUUCUGAGAAGUGAUUCCUGUCUGUGCCUGCGGCGGAUUCCAGUCUACCACCAGCUGCUCUUUUAUAAUGAAUCCUUUAAACGGCUUCCUGUGUCUGGCUGAAAUUUCUGACCCUCUGUGUUGAGCAUUACAAAAGGCAUGUGGAUGAUGCAGCUGGUCCGCCGUCCAUCACGCCUACUGCGGUUCUGCCAUGGAUCACUGGCUGGGAACAUCUGUUGUU